rnacentral:lncRNA from 1 species
GUUGACUUGAAGGAUUUUAAGAUAGUCAAAGAGACCUAUGCUAAAAACUUCCCUUCACCUGCCCUUGCUCGUGCAACAUAUCAAGUUUCUGCAUUGCCAAAAGAUGCCACAGAUUUAGGAAAAUGAAAAUGAAAACCUACCUGAAACAUCAAUGCUAUAAUUUCAUCAUAAGUGACAGUUAUUUACAAGCAGUAAAAACUUUAUAAUUAGGUAUUCGAAAGGGAAUGCAACCAGCAAGAAACAUCAACAAUGAGAAGCUAAAAAGAUGCUAAAUUCAUGAUAAUCAUGCACAUAUUCUUGGACAGUUACUGAAUAAAUGGCAAUCAAGGAUAAGUUAUACAUUUAGAAACCAGCCAUGACAUGGAUUUCAGCAGGCACAAAAUUAAAGUCAGUCAUGAAUUAGCAUGAUUUCUAAUAAAGUGGUAUGAAACAGAUGCAUGUCAGUGUUAUUGUGAUGUCAGUUACAAUUUUGCUAGCAGUUAUUUGGGCAGCCUAAGAGGUGCUCUGGAUCAACUCCAAGACCCUUAUAAAAAGUAGUCAAAACACAUAGAACAUAACACAACACAUGUGGCAGAGAAUAUACAACACAUCCAUAAGAAGAAUCAGAAAGAAAUCUAUCACGCAUAUCACACAACUAUCAGAGAGCAAUACACACACAUAGAAAAAUAGAGAUAUCUAGUAUACAACACAUAGUACAAGUCAGAAUAAGCUACCAUACAGUUAUCUGAAAACAAUUAUUGAGAGUAAGACAGAGGCAUAAAGAACCAGAGAAUUCGCAUAUACACAGUAUCAAAAGAGAGCAUACUGAUAUCACAUACAUACACAUAAUAAAUCAGUGAGCACACAGAGGAGAACAUCAUAAGGUGAAGAAUUCAGUCAAUUCAUAGCAGGUGCAGGGAAUAUCCAGGAACAAGAAUCAUCCAGGAUGACAUUCAAGGGGUAAAAGACCGGGAUAGAUAUUCAGGUAAGGUGCCUAUUUCAUUCAUUUACAUAAUUGCCAACUAUAUGAUUUACCUAGUUUACGUUCCAAAUGUCAAAAGAAUACAAGUACCCAUAUUCCAUUAAGAACUAAAACUAAGUAAUUACAUAUCGACAGUCUUAAUAUAUGAUUUGUUCAUGAACGAAUUCCCACCCAAGAUUAGUGCCUUACAUAAAUCCUCAAUCAAUACGAGCAUUAAAGGGAUAAUUAAAAUUCGAAUAGAAGAAGGAUAUGAUAUGUUACCAAAGCCUUGACACUGUCGAUUCCAAAUGGUGACCUUAUUGCCUUCAUCACCGAAUUAGGACAACCAUACAUCGAUCACGUCCAUCCCGUUCCUUUGCCUUUAAUAAGCUACUGUAAGGAUUAAGAACUAUGUGAUAGUUAGAAGUAAGAGAUGAAGGUUCACAGUUAAAGGAAUAAGGAACAAGAAACGAAUUAAGAAACAAAAACGGGAAGAAGAACCGAAUCACUAUAAACCAGUAUCUCCACUUUAAUUCUUCCAUUAUUUGUCUAACAAAAAUAAGAG